UACGAAGGGGGCUAGCGUUGUUCGGAAUUACUGGGCGUAAAGCGCACGUAGGCGGAUAUUUAAGUCGGGGGUGAAAUCCCGGGGCUCAACCCCGGAACUGCCUUCGAUACUGGGUAUCUUGAGUUCGGAAGAGGUGAGUGGAAUUGCGAGUGUAGAGGUGAAAAUUCGUAGAUAUUCGCAGGAACACCAGUGGCGAAGGCGGCUCACUGGUCCGAUACUGACGCUGAGGUGCGAAAAGCGUGGGGGAGCAAACAGGG
rnacentral:rRNA from 1 species